UUGGGUCAUAAGUCUAUAGGGCAGAGUGUUUCACGUGGCCUCUUUUUACGACCUAGAGUUCCCCUGACCAGAGGGACUUUUUUCUCUCUUUCUCUCUCUCUCUCUCCUCUCUCGCUUCUGCAGGGAGGGAUUAUGGGUUUGUAGGUUCCUCCCCAUGAGAAAGGAAGUGUCUACGUGGCCUGCUGAAAUAGGAUAGGCGGAAAUGAGCUAAGGUUCCCGCGAGUGGUGAAGCGCGAGGUCAACUCUAAGGCCACGCCCCCGAGGCUGUUGCGCAACUUUCGGAGAAGGACGAAAAAGGCUCGCUGGAGGUUUCGAUGUUUGUGCGAGUGGGGGUGUCGAUAGUUUAGCAUACAGUUUGCCAGAUUCGUGGUUUUGUGAAUGACACAUUUCACUUGGAAUCAUCAUAUAAAGUUCUCCAUGUUCUACAUCAAUGAAGCGAUGACAACUGAUUUCCACCUGUGUUUGCUGAUGCCUAUAAUCUAAGCUUUACCUCAAGAAGAUGCUUUGAGCCUUUUCCAAGAGAUAUGAUUCAUCAGGAAAUAAUGUGGAUCUCUUGAUGAGUGAGUACGACAAGAAUGAUGAUAAAUGGAAUGAUCUCCAAAAAGCCUCAUAUCACUUCUUGGAAUUCACUAUGUGCCUAGGACUGUGCCUGGAACCUGACAGCCACUCUGUAGAUAGUAUCUGUUGAAUGAGUGAAUGGACUAAGAGCCAUAUGCUUCAGAAUAAAGGAAAAGGAAUGGCCUGCUGUUUUUGUGAAGCCAUCAUCCUCUCAGGGUCUCAAACAGAAGAGUAUCAGAAGAAAAUGUCGUUGCAUUACAAAGUACUUGGCAGUUGUGAGAAGAGAGAAAAUAGAGGAGACCUACAUACUGCUAACGUCUUCAGGCUGUAGAGAACUGAAACACCUCUGCUGACAUUCUGCGGAUCUCCCUCUGUAGUUCAGGCUGGUCUUGAACUUGUGG